GUUUCGUUGGUGCAGUGGUAGCAUGCCCUCUUAGGGUUUUCUAUAAUACGAAAACUUUGGGGGUGGUCCUCGGUUCAAUCCCGGGACGAGACC
rnacentral:tRNA from 1 species